ncrna:Lactobacillus helveticus CIRM-BIA 103 L31-Firmicutes ribosomal protein leader
CUAUGAUCUGUAAUAUGGUCAUGGCAAAGGAG